rnacentral:rRNA from 1 species
AUGACUAGAGAUAACCUCUUGAAGAGGAAUCUGAAAAAGCCAGAAGAUUGUGUCUUCUGUGCCUGUAAGGAAACAGCUACCCACCUAUUCUUUGAUUGUGUGGUGGCCAAAGAAAUCUGGUCUGUGGCUUCGGACCUGCUCCAUUGACCUCUGGGUGCUAAUCUAGAGUCCAUUGCCUCACUCUGGGUAGCAGGCAAAAACUUAGAUCAUGUUAAUACUGUUUGCUCUGCUAUCCUUUGGGCUUUGUGGAAACAUAGAAAUAACAUGAUCUUUAAUGCUGUGCCUUGGAUCUUUGUCAAACAGAUUUGGUCGAUGGCUAUAAAACUCGUCAGAAAAUGGCGGGUGAUCUUCAAGGAACAUAUGCUCCAGCGGAUGAGAGACUUCGAGAACCAGCUCCUCCAACUGAUCAAGGAACCCGUCCGGCUGCCGUGGAGGUGA